UGUGUUCUUGAAUUCUUUUUCUGUUAGUUCGUUAUUAGAAUAUAGAAAAGCUACUGAUUUAUGUAAGUUGAUUUUAUAUCCUGCAACUUUGCUGUAGUUGUUAAUUAUUUCUAAAACUUUUCCAGUGGAUUCUUUGGGAGUUUUCUACAUACAAGAUCAUGUCAUCUGCAAACAGCGAGAGUUUCACUUCUUCCCUCCCUAUUUGGAUUCCUUUUAUUCCUUUCUCUUGUCAAUUGCUCUGGCCAGGACCUCCAGUACUAUGUUAAAUAAGAGUGGUGAUAGAGGGCAUCCUUGACUUGUUCCUGUUUUCAGGGGGAUGAUGCUCAGUUUUUGCCCAUUGAGUAUGAUGUUGACUGUGGGUUUGUCAUAUAUGACCUUUAUUAUGUUGAAGUAAUUUCCUUCUAUCCCCAUUUUGUUCAGAGUUUUUAUCAUAAAUGGCUGUUGGAUCUUGUCAAAUGCUUUCUCUGCAUCUAUUGAGAUGAUCAUGUGUUUUUUAUUCCUCAAUUUGUUGAUGUGGUGUAUCACGUUGAUUGAUUUGUGGAUGUUGAACCAUCCCUGAGUCCCUGGUAUGAAUCCCACUUGAUCAUGAUGUAUGAUCCUUUUGAGGUAUGCUGAAUUCUAGUUGCCAAAAUUUUGUUUAGAAUUUUUACAUCUAUCUUCAUCAGCAAUAUUGGCCUGUAGUUCUCCUUUUUCGUGCUGUCCUUGUCAGGCUUUGGUAUCAGCAUGUUGUUGGCCUUGUAGAAUGUGUUAGGAAGUGUUCCAUCCUCGCUAAUUUUUUGGAAUAGCUUGAAAAGGAUAGGUAUUAAAUCCUCCCUGAAAGUUUGGUAGAAUUCCCCAGGAAAGCCAUCUGGUCCUGGGGUUUUAUUCUUUGGGAUGUUUUUGAUUGCUGUUUCAAUCUCUUUCCUUGUGAUUGGUCUGUUCAGAUUGUCUGCUUCUUCUUGAGUGAGCUUUGGGAGAUUGUAGGAGUCCAAGAAUUUAUUCAUUUCCUCUAGGUUAUCCAUUUUUCUGGCAUAUUGUUUUUUGUAGUAUUCUCUUAUAAUCUGUUGUAUUUCUGCAGAGUCUGUUGUUUUUUCUCCUCUUUCAUUUCUGAUUUUGUUUAUUUGAGCUUUCUCUCUUUUUGUCUUUGUAAGACUGGCUAGGGGGUUGUCAAUUUUAUUUAUCUUCUCAAAGAACCAGCUCUUGGUUUCAUUGAUCCUUUCUACUGCCUUUUUGGUUUCAAUAGCAUUUUUUUAUGCUGUAAUUUUUAUUAUUUCUCUCCUUCUGCUGACUUUGGGCUUUGUUUGUUCUUCUUUUUCUAAUUCAGUUAGGUGUAAUUUGAAGUUGCUUAUUUGGGAUUUUUCCUGUUUCUUAAUGUGUGCUUGCAUUGCAAUGAAUUUCCCUCUUAAUACAGCUUUUGCUGUAUCCCAUAUGAGUUGGUAUGGCAUGUUAUUUUCAUUUGUCUCCAUAUAUUUUUUUAUUUCUUCUUUAAUUUCUUCAAUGAUCCAUUGCUUGUUUAAUAGCAUAUUGUUUAGUCGCCACAUCUUUGUCCCUUUCUCAGCUUUUUUCUUGUAAGUAAUUUCUAGCUUUAUAGCAUUAUGAUUGGAGAGGAUGCUUGUUAUUAUUUCAAUUUUUUUAAAUUUGUAGAGGCUUGCGUUGUUUCCCAACAUAUGGUCUAUCCUUGAGAAUGUUGCAUGUGCACUUGAGAAGAAUGAGUAUUCUGCUGUGUUUGGAUGGAGUGUUCUAUGUAUGUCUAUUAAGUCCAACUAUUUUAGCAUUUCAUUUAAUUCCACUGUUUCUUUGUUGAUUUUCUGCCUGGAUGAUCUGUCCAAUGAUGUGAGUGGGGUGUUGAGGUACCCUACUAUUAUUGUGUUAUUUUUAAUAUCUUCUUUUAGGUUUGUUAAUAGUUGCUUUAUGAACUUUGGUGCUCCUGUGUUGGGUACAUAGAUAUUUAUAAGCGUUAUUUCUUCUUGAUGUAGUGUCCCUUUGAUCAUUAUAUACUGACCCUCUAUGUCUCUCUUUACCUUCCUUAUCUUGAAACCUACUUUGUCUGAUAUAAGUAUUGUGACACCUGCUUUCUUUUUUUUGCCAUUAGCUUGGAUUAUCGUCUUCCACCCCUUCACUCUGAGCCUUUGUUUCUCGUUGGAGCUGAGGUGUGUUUCCUGGAGGCAACAGAUUGUUGGAUGUGGUUCUUUGAUCCAUCUUGCCACUCUCUGUCUUUUUAUUGGAGAGUUCAAUGUGUUUACAUUGAGGGUGAUUAUUGAUGCAUGAGGGCUUAAUCCUGUCAUUUUGUAACUCGUUUUCCGGCAUUACCUUUGUUUCUUGUCCUCUGUGUUUUGGCCUACCCAUUGACAUCUGCAGUUUCUUCUUUCCUUACUUAUUUUUUGUGUCUCUGUUCUGUUUUUAAGGUUAGUGGCUACCCUGAAUUUGUAUUCAGAAUCUUGUGUAUAACAUAGCCCAUUUUCUGGUGGCCUUUUAUUUCCUUAGCCUAAACUGAUUCAGUCCCUUUCCUCUUUCCCUCCUAAGUUAUUAUUGUCAUAUUUUAUUCCAACUUGUGUUGUGAGUUUGUAGUUAAAGUGAUAAGAUUGUCUUUGUUUUUGGUGUUUUCCUUCCUUUUAUCCUAAUAUUUUGUUGUGUAUUUGCUAUCCUAUUCUGAUUCUAUCUAUUCGUCUCCUUACUCUGUGUUGUGACCCCUUCCUCCCCCCUUUUUUUUUCAGGCAUGAGGACCUUCUUGAGGAUUUCUUGUGGGGUGGGGGGUCUCCUGGCUAUGAAGUCCCUUAGCUUUUGUUUGUCUGGGAAAGGUUUAAUUUCUCUCUCAUAUCUGAAGGAUAUUUUUGCUGGAUAGAGUAUUCUUGGCUGAAGAGUGUUAUCUUUUAAAGUUUUGAAUAUGUCAUUCCAAUCUCUCCUAGCUUGUAAGGUUUCUGCAGAGAAAUCCACUGAAAGUUUGAUAGGGGUUCCUUUGUAGGUUAUUUUCUUCUGCCUUGCUGUCCUGAGUAUUCUUUCUUUGUCAUUCACUUUUGCCAUUUUUACUACUAUA
rnacentral:lncRNA from 1 species